rnacentral:lncRNA from 1 species
GAUAGUCUAUUUUGUAUAUUUCUUGUAUAAUAACAGUCUAUUUUAUAUAUUUUUUGUAUAGUGACAGUAUAUUUAGUAUAUAUAUAAAUAUUUAAUUAAUAACUGAAUAAUUAAAAUGAAUUGACAACCCGCUUAAUACUUGCCACAUUGUUCCCGGCAUAGUUACAGAUCUUUCACACGUGUUGUAAACACAUGGCUAGUUCAAGCUUCCUUUCUUCCUAGUCUUCUUUCCCAUUUGGUAGCAACGCUUUUUGGCCGAUUUCAAUGAUUUACAACAAAUACCACACUUCUCUUCACAAACUCACGCAUUUUCACUUCUCUACCUUCCCCUUUUCCCAUUCUUCAAUUCUCAAAGAAUCACAGAUCUAACCAAUAAUCAGAUCCUAAAGUUAUGUCUCCGCAUCCAUUGAAAGCAGUAACACUGACUCAAUAGGCCAAGAAUUAACACUAAAGUAAGGGGGAAAUUGAAGAAGCUAAAAUCAUAGAUGAAAAGAGGUGGAUUGCUUGUUGAUGGGGAAGCUUCGGAAUUUGGAAACAAUAAUUGAUGGGUUGAAACAGUCGAUGAUGGCGGUGAUUGAAGCGGCGGAGCAUCUACGACGAUCGGCGGUGAGGUCUGUCUUUGCAGCCAUGGCGUGGUCGCCUGUCUUUCCGCAUCUGUCUUUGCAGAUCUGAGCCUCUUAGUUAAUAAUUUUGGGCUAGCCACUAGAAUUACUUUUGGGCUAUAAAAUAUAUAUUACAAUUUUUGGGUUAUCGAGUGUUAUAUGUUUGGGCCGAUGGGCUAUAAAUGAAUUUUGCUCUAUAAAAUGGGACUCUUUAUUGUUACUUACCGAUGAAUUUAAUAAAACGAUACAAUAAAUUUUAAGUAACAAAAAUAUAAGCAUUGUAUUUAUAGUAACAAUACAAUACGAUACAAUGGGUAAUAAACAUCCAAACCGCUUGUUAGACAUUCUCUUUGUUUAGUACCUAAUUCGUGACGUAAUACCUCAAAAUUCCUAAAUUUACACCAUUUAAUCGAUAAAUAUUUUAAUUAUAUUUUUAUUUAAUUACACUCAUAUGCUUGGUUAUUUGAUAGCCCGACUCUUAAAGCAAUUCCAUCUCACUUAUAUUAAAAACACAAAAGCUCUUAACGGAGUGUCGUUCGCUAUUUUUAUUCUUUAAAAAUAUAUUUUAUAUUGAAUAAAUUUGAAUUUUUUUUAAAAAUAUCUAGGACUUUAAAUAUAAUUAAAGUUUUCUUACUAAACCAUUCAUUAUUUGAACUAUGUAAGAAAUCCUAAAAUAUUUCAAACUUAAAAUUAAAUAAAAAUUUACCCAAACAAACCAAUGAAAUCGUAUAUUUUCUGAACGGAAAGAAAGAUAAUAUUUUUAUAAUGAUAUAGCCAACUAUCGUAUGUUAAGGUUUUGACAAAAAAAAAAA